CAAUAGCGUAUUCUAACGUUGCUGCAGUUAAAAGGCUCGUAGUCGAAGCUUUGGCUUUGUGGGCCUGGCCCCGUGCCAAGUCGCACGCGUGUUUGCCGGUUUGCCCACGAGCCAUCCCUCCUGGAGAGCGCCCCUGCCCUUGACUGGGUUUUUCCGGGCGGCGCGAUCCAGGUCGUUUACUGUGAGUAAAUCAGAGUGUUCAAAGCAGGCUUUUCGCAGCUUGUAUGCAUUAGCAUGGAAUAAUGAGAUAGGACUUGGGUCUUCUAUUUCGUUGGCUUUCAGGAACCAAGUAAUGAUGAAGAGGGAUAGUUGGGGGUGCUAGUAUUCAGUGGUCAGCGGUGAAAUGCAUGGACCCACUGAAGACUAACUCAUGCGAAAGCAUUCACCAAGGAUAUCUUCUUUGA
rnacentral:rRNA from 1 species